UCCUUCAUAUUUUUAUAUUAAAAAAAAAAGCGAUUCUUUUUUUUUCGUUUGCAUUAAAAAAAGUCCUGUAUGAAGCAUGCUUGCACAGCGUGGACAGAAGAGAAAGAAAACCUCGUCUCAGAUGUAAAGUAUGUGUGAGGUUUAACACCAUGAGUGGAUGGCGGGUUGGUGCGGGGGCAGCUCAUGCAAAAGCUGAAUUUACACCAUGCUGAUUUACCAUCUGCAGCAACACGCCUGCUCUUUGUGUCCGCUGACAUGUGGGCGGCCACAUGAGGAUGCCAUGCCUGGUUUAACAUGCCAGAAUAAAAUCAUCAAACGCUUUUCUUUUUUGGUUACAGUGGAUUCAACAACAGUGGGAUCAAAUCUGAGUCUGAGAGGAGAAACACCAACAAACCGAGACGCUGGAGGGAUUUUUUUUUUGUGUGCAUUUGUUAAAGCUGUGAGUUUUGAGUAGGUCAUGAUAUUUAUAGCUCUCCGUUUUUCCACAGUUGGUGUGAAGAUGGUGCAGCAAACAGGAGGCUGAAAGCUGAAGCAUCCUGCUAAAAACCGUCUUCAUAUGCAGGAGAGACACCGCUGCUCUUCAUGAGGGCUUCAGAUAAAGCCAACAUCACAGGACGGAACAUGGGAUAAACGUUUAAUUUCCAAGAAAAGGGUCAUGCCUAAGAGCGACUGCACGUCUGUACCUGCACAUGACGGAGUCUUCCAGCUUUGUGCCAGGGCUGCAGCGGUAAAUAAAAGAGGAGGUGGAAAGGAUUUCUUGGAGAAGAAAGUAACCAACUCUGCCACUUAAUUAUGAAAGAGCAUGCAACAAGUUUUACCAUGUCCAACAUCCUACAACCGGCGCACCAGUCAGGUACUGUCAUGCCUCCCAGUCAUUUGAAAUAGUGCAAAGUAAGGAGAACGUCAGUGGCAAGAAAAAUAAACCAAAGCCAUUCGCAUUUAUUACGCACAGCAGCAGA